CCUAAUUUAUAAUAUUAGUUCUUUUUCAUUAAUUUUUCUGGAUAAGCUCAAAAAAGUAAGAUUUUUUGAUUAAAAUUGCUAUGUGGGCUUAAAAUUGGCCAAAAAGUUUGUUAUAAAAUAGUAGUAUUAACCCUAAAAAUAAAUAUAUUUAAAUCUAAAAUCCUACGGGGAUAAGAACUUUAAUUUUAUGCCUAUGCUAAAAUGAGUAUUAAACCAUUGUAAAGAUUUUCUUCAAAAAAUUAAUUAAUUAGAAGGAAUUCAGCAAAUUUAGUUGCUUCGCCUGUUUAUCAAAAACAUGGCUCUUUGCUUAUAUAAAUAUAAAGAGUCGAGCCUGCCCAGUGUAUUUUAACGGCCGCGGUACUCUGACCGUGCAAAGGUAGCAUAAUCAUUUGCCUUAUAAUUGAAGGCUAGUAUGAAUGGUUUGACGAGAGCAGCACUGUCUCCUUUUUAUUUUCAAGAACUUAACUUUUAGGUGAAGAGGCCUAAAUUUUAUUGAAGGACAAGAAGACCCUGUCGAGCUUAAAAGACAUCAUAGAAGUAUUUAAAUUUUCUAGCUUUUUAGUUGGGGCGACUAAGGAACAAAAAAAGCUUCUUCUUAACAACAGUCAUGUUUAGAUCCGAUGCGAUUGAAGGAAUUAGUUACCGCAGGGAUAACAGCAUAAUCUCUCUUAAGAGACCUAAUCGAAAGAGGGGGUUGUGACCUCGAUGUUGGACUAGAAUAUCCUAAAGAUGCAGAAGUCU
rnacentral:rRNA from 1 species